rnacentral:lncRNA from 1 species
UUUCACGGUGGGUAUGGUUGUCCUGCGAGAGAACGUUCUGUGCUGGUGAUUCGGUCCUGACGGGUGCUGGUGAUCAAUGAAAAAAUGUAAACAAAGACGAAAAUGAUGAUUUUUCACAUUUUCACUCAUAAAAAAUGGGAGAAAACAGUUGAGAUUUUUAAAUUUUGUUUCUUAUGGAUUCAUAUAUAAACCAUUAAAAAGUUGACCAUCUACACUGUUUCAGUAAGCGUAACACAAAAAUGC